rnacentral:rRNA from 1 species
AGAGUUUGAUCCUGGCUCAGAUUGAACGCUGGCGGCAUGCCUAACACAUGCAAGUCGAACGGUAACGACGGGAGCUUGCUCCCGGGCGACGAGUGGCGGACGGGUGAGUAAUACUUAGGAAUCUGCCCAGUAGUGGGGGACAACUCGAGGAAACUCGAGCUAAUACCGCAUACGCCCUACGGGGGAAAGCGGAGGAUCUUUCGGGACUUCGCGCUAUUGGAUGAGCCUAAGUCGGAUUAACUUGUUGGUGGGGUAAAGGCCUACCAAGGCGACGAUCUGUAGCUGGUCUGAGAGGACGAUCAGCCACACUGGGACUGAGACACGGCCCACACUCCUACGGGAGGCAGCAGUGGGGAAUAUUGGACAAUGGGGGCAACCCUGAUCCAGCAAUGCCGCGUGUGUGAAGAAGGCCUGCGGGUUGUAAAGCACUUUCAGUAGAGAAGAAAUGCCCAUGGUUAAUACCCGUGGGUCUUGACGUAACCUACAGAAGAAGCACCGGCUAACUCCGUGCCAGCAGCCGCGGUAAUACGGAGGGUGCGAGCGUUAAUCGGAAUUACUGGGCGUAAAGCGCGCGUAGGCGGUUUGGUCAGUCGGAUGUGAAAGCCCUACGCUCAACCUGGGAAUGGCAUUCGAUACUGCCUGACUAGAGUAUGGUAGAGGGAAUUGGAAUUUCCGGCGUAGCGGUGAAAUGCGUAUAAA